CCUACGGGUGGCAGCAGUGAGGAAUAUUGGUCAAUGGACGCAAGUCUGAACCAGCCAUGCCGCGUGCAGGAAGACGGCUCUAUGAGUUGUAAACUGCUUUUGUACGAGGGUAAACGCAGAUACGCGUAUCUGUCUGAAAGUAUCGUACGAAUAAGGAUCGGCUAACUCCGUGCCAGCAGCCGCGGUAAUACGGAGGAUUCAAGCGUUAUCCGGAUUUAUUGGGUUUAAAGGGUGCGUAGGCGGUCGGAUAAGUUAGAGGUGAAAUCCCGAGGCUCAACUUCGGAAUUGCCGCUGAUACGGUUCGGAGAGAGAGUAGUAGAGGUAGGCGGAAAGUAUGGUGGAGAGGUGAAAUGAUUAGAGAGCAUACAGAACACCGAUUGAGAAGGCAGAGGAACAAACUACUUCUGACGUGGAGGGACGAAAGUGUGGGGAGCAAAAAGGAUUAGAUACACCAGUAGGC
rnacentral:rRNA from 1 species